CACGGCUCUUCUGUCCAAGCUGAAGGAUGAUGAGGAGGGGGAGGAGGAAAUCCAGGCCCUGCAGGAGCUGUAUCAGCCAGGCCAGCAUGUGGUGUGCAGUGUGGUGUCCAUCGAGAAGGUCAACAACAUGACCUGGGCCUCUCCGGUGCCCAAUGCUGCCAGACUUCAACAUACUGCCUCCUGCACCAACCAGUAACCUUCAGUCCUCCUCUCCCUCCCUGUCCACAGUGAGUCUCACACUAAUGCCCAAUGAGGCGAACUUUGGCAUCUCAGCAUCGUGCCUGGAGAAGGGUCUGGUGCUGCCCUGUGCUGUGGCCAGCCUGGAGGACAAGGGCUAUGUCAUGGACACAGGCAUUCCCAAGAUCAAGGCA